UGAGCAGAAGCGGCCGGGUGGUCCUCCUGGGUGCCUCAGGGGCCCGGGGAGCAUGGGUCAGGGCGAGUGGCUGCUCCCUGGCCUCAGGUUAUCUGGGUGCCCGGUGAGUGAGGCAUGGCAGGCGAUACCGGACCCCACCCACCGCGUAUACCUCUGGAAUAGCGAUUGCCAUGAUUGAUGUCAGUAGCCUGGGCUGGGAGCCUGCAGGUAAUCAGAACUGCGAAGAUGAUUGGGUCACAGCCAGGAGACUGAUUUUGUAUCCAGAAGUUUCUGUUUCACAAUCACUAAACUACUCAUGCUCAAAGAUUAGUGUCAACAAGAAAUAAACAGACUCUGAUACCGAUAUAAAAUGAACGCGCGUUCAAGAUUUCCUUCAACUCAUUGUUAGCGCAGAAACCGGUAAGAUGUGCCAGCCAGGUCAAAGGAGAAGUGACAAAGGCACCUGUGUACGCGGAGUAAAGGGAUACAGGCUACAACUGAAAACACCAGUCAUAUUACCAAGGCUGUGACCGAAAUCGUGUCUCUGAGAAUGUGCCUCAAGCGUUCCAAGCCUGGCCGGCCGCGCUGGCUCACGCCUAUCAUCCCAGCACUUUGGGAGGCUGAGGAGUUCACCAAACCAUCCAAUGCCAUAACCACAGACAUUUCACCUGCAAACCAGGCAGAGAAGCUGGCGUUUUCACACUGUAGCCAGGGCUUCCAGUUCAUCGGGACGAGAUUCUGUAUCAGAGACGCCCUCCCUCUUACCGUCUACCUGCUCGUGCCACAGGAUCAUGGUCAUUUAGUUCAUUCAACUGGUGAUCUUAAGCCUAGGUUUGUAGCUCAAAACUGUUAUGCAAACUGGGAUUUUCAUAUUACUAUUAAUUUUACUUUGUAUUUUCCCUUUUUAAACUUUGUGCCUGUUACUUGUUAAAUUUCUGCAGAUGUACACCUCCUAACUGAACAAUGCUGGACCGGCUCUUUGAGAUGAUAGCAAAGACUAUGAAACAAAUAAAACUGAAAUUAAUAAUGGACUCCA
rnacentral:lncRNA from 1 species